rnacentral:rRNA from 1 species
UACGUAGGGAGCAAGCGUUAUCCGGAUUUACUGGGUGUAAAGGGCGCGUAGGCGGGAUGGCAAGUCAGAUGUGAAAUCCAGGGGCUCAACCCCUGAACUGCAUUUGAAACUGUCGUUCUUGAGUACUGGAGAGGUUGACGGAAUUCCUAGUGUAGCGGUGAAAUGCGUAGAUAUUAGGAGGAACAUCGGUGGCGAAAGCGCUUUACUGGACCAUUAUUGACGCUGAGGAACGAAAGCCAGGGGAGCAAAUGGG